rnacentral:rRNA from 1 species
GACGAACGCUGGCGGCGUGCCUAAUACAUGCAAGUCGAACGAAAUGGGGACGGGUGAGUAACACGUGGGUAACCUCCCAUCAGAGGGGAUAACACUUGGAAACAGGUGCUAAACCGAUACUGAUGGAUGGCACCUCGGUGCAUUAGCUAGGUGGUGAGGUAACGGCUCACCAAGGCCACGAUGCAUAGCCGAGCUGAGAGUUGGAUCGGCAACACUUGGACUUAGACCCUGCCCAGACUCCUACGUGAGGCAGCAGUAGCGAAUCUUCGGCAAUGGACGAAAGUCUUACCGAGCAACGCCGCGUGAUUGAAGAAGGUUUUCGGAUCGUAAAACUCUGUUGUUAGAGAAGCGGUAUCUAACCAGAAAGCCACGGCUAACUACGUGCCAGCAGCCGCGGUAAGAC